UACGAAGGGGGCUAGCGUUGUUCGGAAUCACUGGGCGUAAAGCGCACGUAGGCGGAUCUUUAAGUCAGAGGUGAAAUCCCAAGGCUCAACCUUGGAACUGCCUUUGAUACUGGGGAUCUUGAGUCCGGGAGAGGUGAGUGGAACUGCGAGUGUAGAGGUGAAAUUCGUAGAUAUUCGCAAGAACACCAGAAGCGAAGGCGGCUCACUGGCCCGAGACUGACGCUGAGGCGCGAAAGCGUGGGGAGCAAACAGG
rnacentral:rRNA from 1 species